rnacentral:rRNA from 1 species
UACGUAGGGGGCUAGCGUUGCUCGGAAUCAUUGGGCGUAAAGCGCACGUAGGCGGCUUGUUAAGUCCGGGGUGAAAUCCUGGAGCUCAACUCCAGAACUGCCUUUGAUACUGGCGAGCUUGAGUUCGGGAGAGGUGAGUGGAACUGCGAGUGUAGAGGUGAAAUUCGUAGAUAUUCGCAAGAACACCAGUGGCGAAGGCGGCUCACUGGCCCGAUACUGACGCUGAGGUGCGAAAGCGUGGGGAGCAAACAGG